UGGAUUUGUUUCACAGGGUCCCACAGAAACUUCUGCUCUCCAGGUUUGCCCCUCCACUCUGCCCUCCAGGAUAGAAGUGUGGCAUCCUAAUCUGGGAUGCAUCCAUCUCUCCCCCUGGACUGUGAGCAUAUGCAGGGCAGAGACACCUCUGCUUCUCUUGGGUCUCCGGCAUCCUGUGCAGGAUGGGGCCACUGAGGUGCAAAGAGUUUAACUUAUCCCAAGUCACACAGUUUGGAAGAGGCUGAGCUGGUAUUUGAACCCAGGUUUUCAGAGGCUGCACUCUUAACCACCAAGCUUCCCAGCACUCAGCAAACACUGGAAAGACAGAGAUGGACCUAGACAGUCAGUAGGACCAAAAGUCUGCAGGCCGAUAGGGAAAGAAUGUAAGAGGACGGCAUGGGCAGCGCCAGCCCCUCCAGCAGUCAUAUAUUAAGCCCUGGACACUGGGCAGCUCGGGCAGGUCGGGGGGCCUCAGACUCUCGGACCCCAUGCCUGGAAGACCACGGUCUGCCCAACAAGCAGCAGCUGCUGUGAAUCGACUUACACAUCUUCCCCACAGGUGAGCAGAGAGCUAACACCUGAGGAUAGGCCAAGAAACGGGAAGCCCGUGCAACCUGAGCGCACAGAUCACCCCCACCUGCCCGGCACUCACUGUCCCCAGUGGCUGGACUCUCAUCGGGCCAGUCACUGAGCUGGCGCCAGCCUGGUCUCACCAGUGUGUGUCUUUAAAUCAUCCAAUUUCUUCAGCUGUAAAUUGGGCUGGGAGGGGCCAGGUGAGCUGCCUGCCUCAGGGGAGUCGGCGCCCUUACCUGAGUGAUCCCAUUCACUCCUCACAACAAACCCAUGAGGCAGGGAUUGUCAUCUUCAUUGUACAGAGCAGGAAAUGGGUGCACACAGAGGUUAAGAGACUUGCCCAGGUCACACAGCUAGGAAGAGGCUGUGAUUUGAACUCAGUCUUCUGGCUCCAAAGCCCCCACAGAGUCACUCAGGGCACUACAAAGAGUUAACCUGAAUAUGAAAUGAUCUAAGAGUCGCAGUGACAAAGGCAUGCUCUAAGCGCUUUUCCUGCAGUAACUUGCUUAAUCCUUACAACAACCCUAUAAAGUGGGUACUGUUCUCGCCUCAUUUUGCAGAUGAGGAAACUGAGGCACAGAGCAGCUCGGAGGGGGCAGAGCUGAAUCUGACAGGCUACAGGGCCCCUGCGUUGCUUUGUUAUAAGAUGACAAUAAGGAAGUUCCUUUCCUUUGGGAUUAUUUCUGCCUGAAAGCUCAAGACUUUUAGCCACAUCAUUGUCUGGGCUCCACGGGAAGGCAGUGCCACAUGCUGAGGCAUGCUGGGAAAAGACUUUGUUCCAUCCUGUUUUGUUGACAUGCUCUUCAUUUUUAAGCCUGAAACCGAAGCUUCCUGCUAAGAAUUCAAACCAUGGAGAAAAACGCAGCCAUGAUAACGGCCACUACUUCCUGAGCCUCCAGUGUUCCCUGUGCUUGGGGAUCCAUAUAUGUCACUUAACCUUAACCUUCACAACACCAGGGCAGCCUCCAUUUUCACAAGUGAAGAAAUGGAGGCCCAGAGUCACUUAGAAGAUGCUCGAAGGUGCACAGCUGCUAAGUGGUGGUGCUGGGAUUUGUCCUCAGGUCCUCAAGAGUCCUGACUCUUAUGUGCUGGCUCCCCACGGAGGCGUGGAGUCUUGUUUGCUGGGCAUUUGACAGAAAUGUUUCUGCUCAUCUUCUGCCACAGGUUGGUCCUUCAGCGUCAAGAUUCCUGGGCCACUUAUUAAUAGAAGGCACCAGGACACAGGUGCAGGGAUGCAGAGCUGGAUGCUGCCUUCUCAAUAGGAGAAGCCAAGAAACGCAGAUGCCGAUGCUUAAUCAACUCCGUCUCUCCCUCUAGUGACUCGGGGAUAGCUGCCCUGAUGCCAAGGCGAUUGUCUUCUGGAAGCAGCCACGCCGUGUGAGGUUCCUCAUCACUGCCCUGCAUCUCCCUGCGAGCUCUCGGGGAUAAUUGCAAAAUCACGUUUGAUUCCAGGGGAGCAGAAAGCAGCAGGAGCCGUGAAUUCUCCAACUCUUAACUGGUCCUCGACUGGAGCCACUUUUCCCUGCCCACCCAUCCCUGUGGCGGAUUCAUUACAGUUAUCCAAAGCCGGUUUUAACUUUGCUCCCCCUGGCUCAGAAGUCUGUCAGUGGGUCCUGAGCGGCUUCACCAUUCAAGUUUAUUCCUAUCAGCCUGGAAUACAAUGCUCUAUCUGGCUCCGCUUGCUUCUCCAAACCUUCUCUCCCAGGUCUCAUUCUGCCUCUCUGUCUAACUAGACAAGUUGGCUUCCUGUCCUGUGCCUGUCUGCUCCCUGCAGCAGGAAUGCCGUUCCCUCUUCCCUACAGAUUGAAAUUAUAUCCUCUUUCAAGUCUUACUCAAAUGCCACCUCCUCCACAAACUCUUAACACUUAUUCAUUCAUUCAACAAACAUUGACUGAGCCCUUAUGACAAGCAUUGAUCCCAAGGGUCCCUGUGGUCAUGAAGUUUAUGGUGCCAUGGAGCUGUUAGAAAAAGAAUCAUCACAUAAAUAAUCAUCUGAUAACAGCCAUGAUACAAAUUAGUAAGAAAGUGUGGCAGGAGCACAGCAGAUGUACAAUAGGGACCCUGAGCCUUGGGGAUCUAGGACAUUUGAGCUGAGGCCUGAAAGACAAGUAGGAAGUAACCACAUGGUGAAGUUGGAGGAGAGCUCCAGGCAGAGGGCACGGCAUGGGCAAAGGCCCUGCGGUAGGAGGGAACAAGUAGAUUUCCAGGAAGGGCACAGGGGCCUGCAGGGUAAUGUAAGUGAAAUGAGAAAGCUGGAGAUGCAGCUGGAGCAGGACAGUACAGGCCACAGAGGCUUUGCGACUUUAUCCCUGGGCAAAAAGAGGAGAUGAUGAAGGAUUCUGAGCACAGGACACAAGCCAGUAUGUAUUUAGACGCGAUCCUGCCCUGUGGCUGAGCCUCUUCUGAGAAGUGCAGGCCCUGUGUCACGUCACCCUGAACCUCAGUCAUCAGGGUUUUGGAUGUGAGUUUCC
rnacentral:lncRNA from 1 species